rnacentral:rRNA from 1 species
AGUGAACGCUGGCGGUAGGCCUAACACAUGCAAGUCGAACGGCAGCACAGUAAGAGCUUGCUCUUACGGGUGGCGAGUGGCGGACGGGUGAGGAAUACAUCGGAAUCUACUUUUUCGUGGGGGAUAACGUAGGGAAACUUACGCUAAUACCGCAUACGACCUACGGGUGAAAGCAGGGGAUCUUCGGACCUUGCGCGAUUGAAUGAGCCGAUGUCGGAUUAGCUAGUUGGCGGGGUAAAGGCCCACCAAGGCGACGAUCCGUAGCUGGUCUGAGAGGAUGAUACGCGACACUGGAACGGAGAGAGGGUGCAGAUGGCUAAGGAAGACACCAGUGCGCAUUUUUCAGCAAAGGGCGCUAACCUGAUAAGGGAAUAACGAGCGAGUGAAAAAGAGCUAGGGGUCGGAAAAGUCAUUUGUUGAGAAAGAAACGCAGUCGGUUGAUACGCCGCUGUGCUGCCGGUACCGAAAGAAUAAGCAACGGCUAACUUCGUG